GAUCUACAAGUGGAGCCCAGCAAUGAGCCACUGUGCUGGCUGGGGAGUGUUCUCUGGUGGCAGUGCCAGCCCUGGGACUGUCCUAUGUGCACAGAGGAGGAGCUGGAAGCCCAGGGAGAUGCUGGUUCCUGGCUCUGUGGGAUGUGCAUUUGAGAUGCUCCUCGAGGACCUUUCCCUCUCACUGGAGCUUGCUGGGAAUGUUGGCCAACAGGGCACCCAAAUCCCUCCUGCACACUUCCACAGGGCACAGGCGACAGAUUCCAGCUAAAGCUGACACUGUGGUGAGAUAUCCCUUUGCAGGAGAGAAUCUGGAGGAAAGUGAUUCGGUGAUUUCACCUGCUGGCUCCCUCCUUGCUGCCCAGGCACCAGGGAGAGGAAAAUCUCAAGCUCUUCUGGCUCCCCUGCCUUGUGGUAGAAGCUGUGUAUGAUGUCUGUGAAAACAGAGAGGAGAAGGUGCUGAUGGAGCUUCUUCCCGUGUUUCUUUGUUCUUCAUCUCACUUGGAGUUCCCCACUUCCAGGGGGACAGGGAUGGGGAUCUCCCAUGGCCUGAGCUGGCUCUCCUUGGCUGCUGCUUUGCUCUGUGCCAGGGCUACUGACUCUUUUGGAUUUGACCCAAACUCUUUGGAGAGCAGAGGUUUAAUAUGAACACCCAGUUGUUGCAGGUCCCUGAGGAGCUGCAGUACUAACCCGGAGGAAGGUCCUCACAGGAGCCCAUGGAGCCUCCAGCUCUUUCCCUUUCUGAAAUACUGUGAAAACUCUUCAAGAAUUAGGCUCGGUCAAUAAAAA